UUGAGUACUGUUACUCACUGAAGGAAGUAUUUUGCUUGGAGGAUAUUGAGGGUGAACAAGCUGGGCUCAAAAGAUUGCGGGAACUUGUUUUGGUGGGUUUACCUAAAGUUCUUACUAUAUGGAAAGGGAACCAUUCAGUUGUAUACCUCAAGAACCUCAAGUUGAUGAAAGUGAAGGAUUGUGGGAAGCUGAGAUACCUCUUCUCCAGGACUUUGGCCGAGGGACUUGGUAACUUGGAGGAUCUUUCCAUCCUGAAGUGUGAUCUCAUGGAAGAAAUCGUUUCGGUUGAUGAAGCAGAGGUGGAACAAGGAGCUGCACAGGAAAGAAAUGUGUCUAGUGCCCCGCAACCUAUGUUCUUUCCGAACCUGAAAAAGCUUCUGAUUGGUAAAUGCAACAAAAUGAAGAGAGUGUUAUCACUGACAAAUGCCCACAAUCUAAAGCAGCUUGAAGAACUCACUGUGGCUAGUUGCAAUCACAUGGAGAGAAUCAUUACUGUAUCUGAUGAAGAAAAAGCUGCAGAGAACAAAAACGUUCUUCCAAAACUGAAGAUCCUAGCGCUGGAAGAUCUCCCAGAACUUGAUAGUGUCUACAAUGGCGAAAUAGCA
rnacentral:lncRNA from 1 species